GCCCGUGAAGCUCAACUGGAUGAGAGCAACGGUUUUGUAAACCGAAGGAAGCAGGUUCAAGCCCUGUCACGGGCCC
rnacentral:tRNA from 1 species